AGGCUUUGAUCCUGGCUCAGAAUGAACGUUGGCGGCGUGGAUUAGGCAUGCAAGUCGUGCGAGAAUCUCCUUCGGGAGAGGACAGCGGCGAAAGGGAGAGUAACGCGUGGUUACAUGCCCUCAGGACCGGGAUAGUAGCGGGAAACUGCUAGUAAUACCGGAUAACAUCUUCGGAUCAAAGGUGUGAUUCCGCCUGAGGAUUGGACCGCGUUCUAUUAGCUUGUUGGCGGGGUAAUGGCCCACCAAGGCUGCGAUGGAUACCGGGUGUGAGAGCAUGGCCCGGCUCACUGGGACUGAGACACUGCCCAGACACCUACGGGUGGCUGCAGUCGAGAAUCUUCGGCAAUGGACGAAAGUCUGACCGAGCGACGCCGCGUGCGGGAUGAAGGCCUUCGGGUUGUAAACCGCUGUCAGUUGGGAGGAAGGCGCUGUGAAGAGCAGCGUUUGACCGAUC
rnacentral:rRNA from 1 species